rnacentral:rRNA from 1 species
GACGAACGCUGGCGGCGUGCUUAACACAUGCAAGUCGAACGGAAAGGCCCUGUUCUUGUGGGGUGCUCGAGUGCCGAACGCGUGAGUAUCACGUGAGUAGCCUGCCCUUUACUUUGGGAUAACUUCAGUAAACUGGAGCGAAUACCGGACAUGAGCUCCUUCUGCAUGGUGGGUGUGGGAAAGUUUCGGCGUUUGGGGAUGGACUCGCGGCUUAUCAGCUUGUUGGUGGGGUAGUGGCUUACCAAGGCUUUGACGGGUUGCCGGCCUGAGAGGGUGACCGGCCCCAUUGGGCCUGAGGUACGACCAAGACUGCUACGGGAGGCAGCAGUGGAGAAUAGUGCACGAUGGGCGGCAGCAGGAUGCAGGAACGCCGGAUGCGGGAUGACGGCCUUCGGGUUAUAACCCGCUUUCGCCUGUGACGCAGCGUGAGUGACGGUAAUGAGUAAAGAAGCACCGGCUAACUACGUG